rnacentral:lncRNA from 1 species
CUCCGCCCUCGCAAAGGCACAGCGCGGGCGCAGGCGCGGGGCGGUGCACAGCGCGGGCGCAGGCGCCGAGAGGCGCACGGGAGACCUCAGGCCCAGACUCCACUCCCCAGCUGUGAAAGGACUGCUGGCCAGACCCCCAAGCUAGCCCGCCAGGCCUCCAUAGAGCUGCCCAGCAUGGCUGCGUCCAGUACCAAGAGUUGGUGGGAGACGGGUGAAGUACAGGCUCAGUCUGCGGCCAAGACUCCAUCCUGCAAGAUGGACUCUGUGACUACAUGACUAAUAAAAUAUGGCAGAAAUGACACCAUGCAGUUUCCAAGCCCAGGCCUUAGGAGACAGGCAGCUUCCAGUUCAGUCUUUUGGAGGGUCAGCUCUGGGGCCCUCAGCCAUCACGCAUGGAGUCCAACCACCCUGAGACGUCAUGCUGGAGACCCACCUGUGGAUGCCCCAGUCAAGAGUCCUGGCUGAGCCCAGCCUCCCAGCCACCCCCACCCAAGGCAUCAGACCACGAAGCUUCUGGCCAAGGCUUCACCAACUUCACUUGAUGCUGUGAGGAACAGAACUGCCCAUCCAAGCCCUGCCAGAAUUUCUAACCCACAAAGCCAUGAGUCACAAUAAAUGCCAUGGGACAAAAACAGUCAUGCAUGUUGCUUUUGUCAUACAUUAGUGGUAGUUCAUCGCACGGCAAUAGAAAACCAAAAUACCUGUCUACUGGGUUCGUCCAUUUGGAUGCCACAGAGGCACCUGAAACAGAACACGUUCAUUACUUAACUCUGGUUCUUCCUUCCACACUGACCUCCACCCACUGCUCCCAAGGUUGCCCCUCCUCCAGAGUCCUCCAUCU